rnacentral:rRNA from 1 species
UACGGGGGGGGCAAGCGUUGUUCGGAAUUACUGGGCGGAAAGGGCUCGUAGGUGGCCAACUAAGUCGGACGUGAAAUCCCUCGGCUUAACUGGGGAACUGCGUCUGAUACUGGAUGGCUUGGAUUUGGGAGAGGGAUGCGGAAUUCCAGGUGUAGCGGUGAAAUGCGUAGAUAUCUGGAGGAACACCGGUGGCGAAGGCGGCAUCCUGGACCAACAUUGACGCUGAGGAGCGAAAGCCAGGGGAGCAAACGGG